rnacentral:rRNA from 1 species
CCUACGGGUGGCAGCAGUGGGGAAUAUUGCACAAUGGGGGAAACCCUGAUGCAGCGACGCCGCGUGAGUGAAGAAGUAUCUCGGUAUGUAAAGCUCUAUCAGCAGGGAAGAAAAUGACGGUAUCUGACUAAGAAGCACCGUCUAACUACGUGCCAGCAGCCGCGGUAAUACGUAGGGGGCAAGCGUUAUCCGGAUUUACUGGGAGUAAAGGGAGCGUAGACGGCGGUGCAAGUCCGGUGUGAAAUCCCAUGGCUUAACCAUGGUACUGCACUGGAAACUGUGAAGCUUGAGUGCGGGAGGGGCAGGCGGAAUUCCUAGUGUAGGGGUAAAAUGCGUAGAGAUUAGGAGGAACACCGACGGCGAAGGCGGCCUGCUAGAACGUAACUGACGUUGAGGCGCGAAAGCGUGGGGAGCAAACAGGAUUAGAUACCCCUGUAGUC